rnacentral:rRNA from 1 species
AUUGAACGCUGGCGGCAGGCCUAACACAUGCAAGUCGAGCGGAGGAAGUGAGCUUGCUCCUGGAUUCAGCGGCGGACGGGUGAGUAAUGCCUAGGAAUCUGCCUGGUAGUGGGGGAUAACGUCCGGAAACGGGCGCUAAUACCGCAUACGUCCUGAGGGCGAAAGUGGGGGUUCUUCGGACUUCACGCUAUCAGAUGAGCCUAGGUCGGAUUAGCUAGUUGGUGGGGUAAAGGCCUACCAAGGCGACGAUCCGUAACUGGUCUGAGAGGAUGAUCAGUCACACUGGAACUGAGACACGGUCCAGACUCCUACGGGAGGCAGCAGUGGGGAAUAUUGGACAAUGGGCGAAAGCCUGAUCCAGCCAUGCCGCGUGUGUGAAGAAGGUCUUCGGAUUGUAAAGCACUUUAAGUUGGGAGGAAGGGCAGUAAGUUAAUACCUUGCUGUUUUGACGUUACCAGCAGAAUAAGCACCGGCUAACUUCGUG